CGUCGACCGGCGCACGGGUGAGUAACGCGUAUCCAACCUUCCCAUAACUAAGGAAUACCCCGUAGAAAUGCGGCCUAAUCCCUUAUGGUCUCUUACGCUGACAUCGGAAUAAGAGUAAAGAUUUAUCGGUUAUGGAUGGGGAUGCGUCUGAUUAGCUUGCUGGCGGGGUAACGGCCCACCAGGGCAUCGAUCAGUAGGGGUUCUGAGAGGAAGGUCCCCCACAUUGGAACUGAGACACGGUCCAAACUCC
rnacentral:rRNA from 1 species